rnacentral:rRNA from 1 species
UACGAAGGGGGCUAGCGUUGCUCGGAAUCACUGGGCGUAAAGCGCACGUAGGCGGAUCUUUAAGUUAGGGGUGAAAUCCCAAGGCUCAACCUUGGAACUGCCUUUGAUACUGGGGAUCUCGAGUCCGGAAGAGGUUGGUGGAACUGCGAGUGUAGAGGUGAAAUUCGUAGAUAUUCGCAAGAACACCAGUGGCGAAGGCGGCCAACUGGUCCGGUACUGACGCUGAGGUGCGAAAGCGUGGGGAGCAAACAGG